ACGUAGGUGGCAAGCGUUGUCCGGAUUUAUUGGGUUUAAAGGGUGCGUAGGCGGUUCCAUAAGUCAGUGGUGAAAUACAAUAGCUUAACUAUUGAGGUGCCAUUGAUACUGCGGAACUUGAGUACAGACGAGGUAGGCGGAAUUGACGGUGUAGCGGUGAAAUGCUUAGAUAUCGUCAAGAACACCGAUAGCGAAGGCAGCUUACUAGACUGUAACUGACGCUGAGGCACGAAAGUGUGGGGAUCAAACAGGAUUAGAUACCCUGGUAGUCCACACUGUAAACGAUGAUUACUCGAUGUUGGCGAUACACAGCCAGCGUCUUAGCAAAAGCGAUAAGUAAUCCACCUGGGGAGUACGCCCGCAAGGGU
rnacentral:rRNA from 1 species